AACGAACGCUGGCGGCAUGCCUAACACAUGCAAGUCGAACGGAAGGGCCCUGCUUGUGUGGGGAGUUCGAGGGGCGACGGGGUGAGUUACAUGUGAGUAAGCUGCGCUUGAGUUUGGGAUGACCUCAGACAGGUGGGGCUAAUACCGGAUAGGAGCUCCUGCCGGAUGGUGGGGGUUGGAAAGUUUCGGCGGGUGGGGGUUGACUUGCGGCUCAUCAGCUUGUUGGUUGGGUAGUGGCUGAGCAAGGUGUUGACGGGUGGUCGGCCUGGGAGGGUGACCGGCCACCUUGCGCCUGAGAUACGGCCCAGACUCCUACGUGAGGCAGCGGUGGGGAGUAUUGUACAGUGGGCGGAAGCCUGAUGCAACAACGCCGCGUGCGGGAUGACGGCCAUCGGGUUGUGAACCGCAUUCGCCUGUGACGAAGCGUGAGUGACGGUAAUGGGUGAAUAAGCACCGGCUAACUACGUG
rnacentral:rRNA from 1 species